AUGUUCUACGAUAUCUUCGUGGCACAAUCUCUCACUGUCUCUUCUUUCCUCAUUCUAGCUCGUUACAGCUCCAGGCCUAUUCGUAUGCUACCUGGGCUAGUGAUCCUUCGGAUCGCCGUUCACUUUCUGCUUACGGUGUCUUUCUUGGUGGUUCUCUCAUUGCCUGGAAAACGAAGAAACAGACUGCAGUUCCCGUUCGAGUGCAGAGGCUGA
rnacentral:rRNA from 1 species